AAAAGUACCCAGUUAAUUAAUGGCAAUAUUUCGACGCCUUCGGUUGGAAUAGCGGCUGGACGGGAACGUUUUGAUUGUCAAUUGCAAUUGAAUUGAUUUGAACAUAAAUUGAGGCGGCUUGACAACAGUUGCAAUCAGCCCAAAGGAGACGAUUAGCACACACAAACAUAAACACUUAUAUACGUCUAUAUAUGUGUGCAUAGUGCAUAUACACAUACAUAUAUGUAUAUGCGUAUAUAGCACAGAUAGAAAUAAAGACGUUUAUAUAGGCACUUAAAGCGGUUAUUGCUUUCGUCUAUUAAUUUACAAUUGUUUCUUGUUGUUGUUGCUGUUUCUGUGCUGACAUCGAUUAACACUAAGGUAAACGCUCGCAUGGCGAACAACAACGCAGCCGCCGACGUUGACGGCGCCAAUCAGAAGCCAAAAGCUAAUGGCUUAAUAGGCAGCGGCGAUGCAUGUGCAUCAACAACAACAACAACAACAGCAUCAGCAUCAUCAGCAGCAGCA
rnacentral:sRNA from 1 species